UACGUAGGGGGCAAGCGUUGUCCGGAUUCAUUGGGCGUAAAGAGCGUGUAGGCGGCCAGGUAGGUCGGUUGUGAAAACUGGAGGCUCAACCUUCAGAGGUCGACCGAAACCAUCUGGCUAGAGUCCGGGAGAGGAGAGUGGAAUUCCUGGUGUAGCGGUGAAAUGCGCAGAUAUCAGGAAGAACACGCGUGGCGAAAGCGGCUCUCUGGAACGGUACUGACGCUGAGACGCGAAAGCGUGGGGAG
rnacentral:rRNA from 1 species